rnacentral:sRNA from 1 species
CGAACCGCCGCGCCUCGCCCAGGACAGUUACACUUAGAGGCCUUCAAAAGAGGGAGAAUGCCCUCCCGAUAAGAACCCAUGCAAAGAGCUGUGCCAGGGCGACGAAUUGUGUCCGGCUGAACAGAAGUGCUGCACCACAGGCUGUGGUCGGAUCUGCCGAGACAUUCCUAAGGCAGAGUUUGGUGGUGAAUGUCCCGCUGACCCCCUUCCAUGUGAGGAGCUGUGUGAUGGGGAUGCAUCCUGUCCCCAGGGGCAUAAAUGCUGCAGCACCGGCUGUGGCCGCACCUGCCUCGGAGACAUUGAGGGAGGGCGGGGCGGUGAUUGUCCAAAAGUUCUGGUGGGCCUGUGCAUUGUUGGCUGUGUGAUGGAUGAGAAUUGUCAAGCUGGAGAAAAAUGUUGC